GAUGAACGCUGGCGGCGUGCCUAAUACAUGCAAGUCGAGCGAACAGACGAGGAGCUUGCUCCUCUGACGUUAGCGGCGGGCGGGUGAGUAACACGUGGAUAACCGACCUAUAAGACUGGGAUAACUUCGGGAAACCGGAUCUAACACCGGAUAAGAUAUUGAACGGCAUGGUUCAAUGGAGAAAGACGGUUUUGAUGACCCUAGUAGAUGGAUCCGCGCCGCAUUAGCUAGUUGGUAAGGAAACGGCUUACCAAGGCAACGAUGCGUGGCCGACCUGAGAGGGUGAUCGGCCACACUGGAACUGAGACCCGGUCCCGACUCCUACGGGAGGCAGCAGUAGGGAAUCUUCCGCAAUGGGCGAAAGCCUGACGGAGCAACGCCGCGUGAGUGAUGAAGGUCUUCGGAUCGUAAAACUCUGUUAUUAGGGAAGAACAAAUGUGUAAGUAACUAUGCACGUCUUGACGGUACCUAAUCAGAAAGCCACGGCUAACUACGUG
rnacentral:rRNA from 1 species